rnacentral:tRNA from 1 species
GGUAUCGCCAAGCGGUAAGGCACCGGAUUCUGAUUCCGGCAUUCCGAGGUUCGAAUCCAAAGGGCGAUCUUCCGACCG